UAACUCUGGUUGAUCCUGCCAGAGGUUACUGCUAUCGGUAUUCGACUAAGCCAUGCGAGUUAAAUGUUC
rnacentral:rRNA from 1 species